rnacentral:lncRNA from 7 species
AGGCUGCUCGGGACCCAUCCACGGCAUCGGGCACCUCCAGGGCUGGGGCACCCAUCGCUUCAACGGGGCUCAGCGGGCAGCUGCAAACCGCGGUGGCACGGAGGGAACUCUGCUGACGGAGCAGACGGGAAAAGCUCUGCGCCAGAGGUGGAAGAGCAAAGCAAGUGAUUCCUCCAUCAGCUCACCCAGUUGGGUACCAUCAGCAUCCCCGCAUGGAGGUGAGUGGGAAGAGCCCCAGCAGGAGGCAGAACGAAAGGCGUAGCUGCAGUCCGUGCUGCGGGGCUCUCACGGACCGGGGACGUUUUAAAUCUUAGCCCUGCCUUCCGAAGGCUCCCCGCGGUGCCACCCAUCCGUGCUGCAGCCAAAAUCAGCGGCAGUGGGCGCUGCACCCGGCAGCACAAUGAACGGCCUAAAACUCCAUUCUCUUUGCACGCAGUUUUUGUCACUGUUAAACCUCGGCCAGCGGUGAAGGAUCUGCAGGUACCAAACAGGAACAAAACCUUCUAUUCCUAUUUAAUUGCUCGGCUCAACCGGCCCACGAAAUGAGGCUUUCCUCACUCCAAAAAUACCUGAAUUUGGGUAGGUAAUGGCUGUAAUAGCUGCAAUUAUUCCAGGGGCUGUUUGAGUUGUCAGCUUUAUUCUCCCAAAUACCUGGAGAACAAUGGAGAUGAGUGCCGUGAUCCGAACUGCUGGCAGCACCGCAGCUCACCUCUCCGCACGGCAAAGCCCGUGUAUUUAAAUACAAUUAAGAAGCUUUCACAAGUGAGUAAUUCCAGGACUGGGAUUAAGGGAUGUGGUCAAGCAGGAUGCCUAUUGUCUGUGUGGAAGGGAAAAUCUGCUUCCCUUCCGUCUGGGCUGUAUCGCUCUGCCCUAAUAAACCACUGCCAC